rnacentral:rRNA from 1 species
UGGCGGCGUGGUUAAGACAUGCAAGUCGAACGGAUUUUCUGGUGUAGCAAUACAUCGGGAGGUUAGUGGCGCAAGGGUGAGUAACACGUGGGCAACCUGCCCGGAAAUGGGGGAUAUCCCGCCGAAAGGCGGAUUAAUACCGCAUGUGACUGGGGACGGCAUCGUCCCUAAGUGAAAGUCGGUGAAAGCUGACGUUUCCGGAUGGGCCCGCGGCCUAUCAGCUAGUUGGUGAGGUAACGGCUCACCAAGGCUAUGACGGGUAGCUGGUCUGAGAGGACGACCAGCCACACUGGAACUGAGACACGGUUCAGACACCUACGGGUGGCAGCAGUCGAGAAUUUUUCUCAAUGGGGGAAACCCUGAAGGAGCGACGCCGCGUGGAGGAUGAAGGUCUUCGGAUUGUAAACUCCUGUCAUGAGGGAGUAAGACAUCGCGUUAACUGCGUGGGUGUUUGAUAGUACCUCAAGAGGAAGAGACGGCUAACUCUGUGCCAGCAGCCGCGGUAAUACAGAGGUCUCGAGCGUUGUUCGGAUUCAUUGGGCGUAAAGGGUGCGUAGGCGGUUGGGUAAGUCAGACGUGAAAUUCCAGGGCUCAACCCUGAAACUGCGUUUGAUACUGCCUGACUAGAGUACUGGAGAGGAGACUGGAAUUCACGGUGUAGCAGUGAAAUGCGUAGAUAUCGUGAGGAAGACCAGUGGCGAAGGCGAGUCUCUGGACAGUAACUGACGCUGANGCACGAAGGCUAGGGGAGCAGACGGGAUUAGAUACCCCGGUAGUCCUAGCAGUAAACGGUGCACGUUUGGUGUGGGGGGGAAUCGACCCCUUCCGCGCCGGAGCUAACGCGUUAAACGUGCCGCCUGGGGAGUACGGUCGCAAGAUUAAAACUCAAAGAAAUUGACGGGGGCCCGCACAAGCNGNGG